GGAGAGCCAAUCAGCGUUGAGCAAUUGCAACCGAUCAAGGCGGGAGAAUUGAAGGGCGAAAAACUAAAUAUAAAUAGAUGAACAUUAAAAUAAGUAGACAGAGGAAGCAAUUAGGGCAAAACGCAAAGCGUCUAGGAGGUUUGCCUGCUGAAUCUAGUAUGGAAAAUUGGACCCAUGUUUUGCUAAAAUCUUUGCAUGGGUUACCGGUAUUGCGGUCGAUACCGUCCCACACACAGAUGCUCACAUUAGCUACAGAUGACAACAACGCCCACCCAUGGGGCAGCGUUUGGCACUGGUUGUGAUGGUAGUGUCAUCUCCUACAGCUUGAUGUUAAACAAAUAUAAAGAGAACUAUUGCAAACCAUAAAAGAGCAACAGAAUAACCGCCGGAGUAUCGACAGGAGCAUCUGCAUUAUUAUUAUUAUCAUCAUUAUUAUUAUUAUCAUCAUCAUAAUUAUUAUUAGUGUUAUUAUUAUUAUUAUUAUUAUUGUCAUCAUCAUCAUCAUUUGCAACAGCUGUACGACUAUAUAAAGUUAUCUGCAAGAACAACAGCCAACACAAUCAACAUAGCAACAUUUAUACACAUUUAAUGGUGUCUUUGUAAACAACCAAACAACAACAACAAGCAUCAAUUAUCAACGACAACAACUAAGUCAGAUUGGUAAAAAAAACAACAGCAACAACAGUUAACCUAACGGAGUGAGGCGCUAGCAACCACCACCAUCACCACCAUCACCACCACCACAACCACCACCACCAUCAGCCACAACAACAACAACAACUACUACUACUACUACUACUACUACUACUACUACUACUACUACUACUACUAUGUCCAUGAAGUUUUCUUGAUCAGUGUACAUCUUUCGUAUUUUCUAUCUAUCUAUCUAUUUAUCUGUCUGUAUGUUUGUCUUUCUGACUAACUGUCUGAUUGUCACUGCCUCCUCUUUCUCUUCUUCUCUCUGUAUCCCACAACCUCUCUCUGUGUUUCUAUCAUCCGCUCUAUCAAUAUAAUUUACAUCCACCUGUUUCAUACGUCCGAAUCCUUUAUUAUUAUUAUUAUUAUUAUUAUUAUUAU